rnacentral:rRNA from 1 species
UGAGGAAUAUUGGGCAAUGCCCGCAAGGGUGACCCAGCAACGCCGCGUGGAGGAUGAAUGUCGUAAGAUUGUAAACUCCUGUUAGAGGGGAAGAAUAGUACCGGUUGGACCGGUAUAUGACUGUACCCUCAGAGAAAGCCCCGGCUAACUACGUGCCAGCAGCCGCGGUAAUACGUAGGGGGCAAGCGUUGUCCGGAUUUACUGGGUGUAAAGGGCGCGCAGGCGGGAUAAAAAGUCAGUGGCGAAAUCCUACAGCUUAACUGUAGAACUGCCUUUGAGACUUUUAUUCUUGAGUUCGGGAGAGAGAGACGGAAUUCCAGGUGUAGUGGUGAAAUACGUAGAUAUCUGGAAGAACACCAGUUGCGAAGGCGGUCUCUUGAUCCGACACUGACGCUGAGGCGCGAAAGCG